UACGUAGGGGGCUAGCGUUGUCCGGAAUCAUUGGGCGUAAAGCGCGCGUAGGCGGCCCGGUAAGUCCGCUCUGAAAGUCCAGGGCUCAACCCUGGAAAGCGGGUGGAUACUGCCGGGCUAGAAUCCGGAAGAGGCGAGUGGAAUUCCUGGUGUAGCGGUGGAAUGCGCAGAUAUCAGGAGGAACACCAAUAGCGAAAGCAGCUCUCUGGGACGGUACUGACGCUGAGACGCGAAAGCGUGGGGAGCGAACAGG
rnacentral:rRNA from 1 species